UACGUAGGGGGCUAGCGUUGUCCGGAAUCAUUGGGCGUAAAGCGCGUGUAGGCGGCCCGGUAAGUCCGCUGUGAAAGUCGGGGGCUCAACCCUCGAAUGCCGGUGGAUACUGUCGGGCUAGAGUGCGGAAGAGGCGAGUGGAAUUCCUGGUGUAGCGGUGAAAUGCGCAGAUAUCAGGAGGAACACCGAUUGCGAAGGCAGCUCGCUGGGACGUCACUGACGCUGAGACGCGAAAGCGUGGGGA
rnacentral:rRNA from 1 species